rnacentral:misc_RNA from 1 species
AAAGUCGUAACAAGGUCUCCGUUGGUGAACCAGCGGAGGGAUCAUUACAGGACUCGCAAGACUCCUACAACCCUGUGAACUUAACUAUAAGCACGUUGCUUCGGCGGGUGUCUCGGCGAGGGUCCUCCCUCCCCGGGGCGCUAAGCCCGCCGGCAGCCUACUAUACUCUGUCUCUUUGCGUUGGCAUCUCGAGUACAAUCAAACAAGUUAAAACUUUCAACAACGGAUCUCUUGGUUCUG